rnacentral:misc_RNA from 2 species
AACGCACAUUGCGCCCAUUAGUAUUCUAGUGGGCAUGCCUGUUCGAGCGUCAUUUCAACCCUUAAGCCUAGCUUAGUAUUGGGAAUCUGCUUAACCGCAGCUCCUUAAAUAUAGUUGGCAGAGCACAGCUGUACUCUGAGCGUAGUAAUUCAUUAUCUCGCUUUCUGAAGACAGUCGUACGAUCGCCACAAACCUAUUUAUUUUUUAAUGGUUGACCUCGGAUCAGGUAGGAAUACCCGCUGAACUUAA